rnacentral:misc_RNA from 1 species
UCCACUGGAACCUUAUCAUUUAGAAGAAAGAGAAGUCGUAACAAGGUUUUCGUAGGUGAACUUGCAGAAGGAUCAUUGUCGAAACCUGCAUAGCAGAACGACCUACGAACUGGUGACAAUCGACAGGGGGCAGGGGGCUCUCAUCACCCCCUCGCCCCCUCUGUGGAUGAUGACCUUAAGUCUCCUGCCUGCAAACCAAACCCCAACGCGAAAUGUGCCAAGAAAAUUGAACCAAAGGAGCCACGCAGAUGACCCUGGUCACGGUGUGCCCCUGCAUCGGCGUCUUACAAAUUAUCCAAAACAACUCUCGAUAACAAAUAUCUAGGCUCUCGCAUCGAUGAAGAACGUAGCAAAAUGCGAUACUUGGUGUGAAUUGUAGAAUCCUGCAAAUCAUCAUGUUUUUGAACACACGUUUGCUUGGUGGCUUCCCGUGCAUGCUCGCGCACGCAGUUAGUCCAAAAGUGAGUCCUCGAUGAUGAGCGCCACGACAAUUGGUGGUUUUUUUACCGUCGUUCCCUGUCGUGAGCGCCCUGUUGCCCUAAUGUGCUCUCAAUACCCUCACGCGUUGCCUUGACGACGCUCCGAAAGCGACCCAAAGUUAGGUAAGACUACCUGCUAAGUUUAAGCAUAUCAAU